UACGUAGGGUGCAAGCGUUGUCCGGAAUUAUUGGGCGUAAAGAGCUCGUAGGCGGUUUGUCGCGUCUGCUGUGAAAACCCGAGGCUCAACCUCGGGCCUGCAGUGGGUACGGGCAAACUAGAGUGCGGUAGGGGAGAAUGGAAUUCCUGGUGUAGCGGUGAAAUGCGCAGAUAUCAGGAAGAACACCCGUGGCGAAGGCGGCUCUCUGGUACGUGACUGACGCUGAGACGCGAAAGCGUGGGGGAGCGAAACAGGG
rnacentral:rRNA from 1 species